GAUGAACGCUGGCGGCGUGCCUAAUACAUGCAAGUCGAGCGAACAGAUAAGGAGCUUGCUCCUUUGACGUUAGCGGCGGACGGGUGAGUAACACGUGGGUAACCUACCUAUAAGACUGGAAUAACUCCGGGAAACCGGGCUAAUGCCGGAUAACAUUUAGAACCGCAUGGUUCUAAAGUGAAAGAUGGUUUUACUAUCACUUAUAGAUGGACCCGCGCCGUAUUAGCUAGUUGGUAAGGUAACGGCUUACCAAGGCAACGAUACGUAGCCGACCUGAGAGGGUGAUCGGCCACACUGGAACUGAGACACGGUCCAGACUCCUACGGGAGGCAGCAGUAGGGAAUCUUCCGCAAUGGGCGAAAGCCUGACGGAGCAACGCCGCGUGAGUGAUGAAGGUCUUCGGAUCGUAAAACUCUGUUAUUAGGGAAGAACAAAUGUGUAAGUAACUGUGCACGUCUUGACGGUACCUAAUCAGAAAGCCACGGCUAACUACGUG
rnacentral:rRNA from 1 species